CCUUGUCGAGUAAGUUCCGACCCGCACGAAAGGCGCAACGAUCUGGGCACUGUCUCAACGAGAGACUCGGUGAAAUUAUAGUACCUGUGAAGAUGCAGGUUACCCGCGACAGGACGGAAAGACCCCGUGGAGCUUUACUGCAGCCUGAUAUUGAAUGUUGGUACAGCUUGUACAGGAUAGGUAGGAGCCUUGGAAACCGGAGCGCCAGCUUCGGUGGAGGCAUCGGUGGGAUACUACCCUGGCUGUAUUGACCUUCUAACCCGCUGCCCUUAUCGGGCAGGGAGACAGUGUCAGGUGGGCAGUUUGACUGGGGCGGU
rnacentral:rRNA from 1 species